rnacentral:lncRNA from 10 species
UGGCCCUGGUGAUGACUAAGUGCAGCCAAGUUGCAGUUUAUUAUAAGGCAGUUCAUAGAUGCUGCUGCUGCUGCUGCUAGCAUUUCAUCUGCUGAGAAUCACACUCAGUAGCAACAGCCGUCCAAGAUACAGCCCUGCGGGGCUUUGAGUGUUAACGUUGGGUGCAUAGUGAUGAGGCUUUUUUAAAGCCUUGAAACGGGGCCAACUGGUAAUACCUAAGGAACCUCUUCUACCAGAGGCAAGCAUUUUCACCAGCCAUUUUGAAUUUGAUGUGCUCAGCACUUUGAGGUAGCUGGCUCCUGGGCGUAAGUCAGAUUCUGACUCACUGGCUGGAUCACCAUCCUCAGGACCCCUUGCAGGACAGAGUCUCACACUGUCGCCCAGGCUGGAGUGCAAUGGCACAAUCUCGGCUCACUACAACCUCUGCCUCCCAGGUUCAAGCGAUUCUCCUGCCUCAGCCUCCCAUCUUCAAAUAUUUUUGUACCCUUAUCUUAUUUUUUCAGGAACUCCAGUUUCACAAAUAUUAGCCCAAGUGAAAUUGGCCCACAGAUCACUGAUCCUCUGUUCAUUAAAAAAAAAAUAAAAGUCUCUGUGAUGGUUGAUU